GCUCACUUCAAAGAACAUUUAUCAAAUUGGAAUGAUACAGAGAAGAUCAGCAUGGCCCCUCACAAGGACAACACACAAAUUGGUGAAGCUUUCCAUAUUUUU
rnacentral:snRNA from 1 species